CCCAAAUCUCAAACCAAAUUUGUCUUCUCCUUGCCGUCACACAAGGAUCUGCAGAGAACACUCCAACAGAAGUCAGAUGGUGUCCUUGAACUCGAGACAACUCAGAUUAACUUGUAUCAGCUCACAAAAAUACAGCGAGAUCAGUUUCUGAAGUGUCACUCUGCUGCACGCUGCUGGGUUCGCUGACACUGGAGUCACGAACUGGACGAAGGCUUGAAAUGGAUGGAAAACUGUCGGAAAAGGGCUCAGAAUCCCGGAGGACCACCGCCGAUAAUCCUGUGAUGGAAUGGAAACUCAGACCAGAAGAACGCUGCUGAUCUGAGCUGAAAAUCGCAGCCCACAGCUAUAGUACCAUGCUCGCCAAAUCCACUCGCUGAUGAGAACUGAUGGUCGGAAUCUGAUCGUCGGAGGUUGAGGAACUCCACGCUGGUGAAGACAAGCUAGUUCGAAGCUCUGGAAGAAGGGAGGAGUCGCGACCGCGCCAUCACAAAAACUGGCACGAUGAACAGUAGCGCGAGCUCACUGUUCACCGUGCCAAAAAUUCCCCUUUUAUAUCUAGGGUUUAGUCCAGCUGGGGUUUGACUAGAAUCCAAGCUCAAUUGGGGUCAGUUAGGGUUUUGGGCUUCAUUUGGUUGAGUGAACCAUGCCUCCACUUGAAUCAUGAACCCAUUAGUGCCCUACAAGACCAAAUUCACAUAAUGAGAAAUAAAUCAUGCAUAAGAUGG